rnacentral:rRNA from 1 species
GAGCGGAACUUUUGGAGCUUGUUCCAAAAGUUUAGCGGCGGACGGGUGAGUAACGCGUGGGCAACCUGCCCUGCAGAUCGGGAUAACUCCGGGAAACCGGUGCUAAUACCGAAUAGUUUGUUUCACUUCCUGGUGAAACACGGAAAGACGGUUUCGGCUGUCACUGCAGGAUGGGCCCGCGGCGCAUUAGCUAGUUGGUGGGGUAAUGGCCUACCAAGGCGACGAUGCGUAGCCGACCUGAGAGGGUGAUCGGCCACACUGGGACUGAGACACGGCCCAGACUCCUACGGGAGGCAGCAGUAGGGAAUCUUCCGCAAUGGACGAAAGUCUGACGGAGCAACGCCGCGUGAGUGACGAAGGUUUUCGGAUCGUAAAACUCUGUUGUGAGGGAAGAACAAGUGCCAACUAACUACUGGCACCUUGACGGUACCUCACCAGAAAGCCACGGCUAACUACGUGCCAGCAGCCGCGGUAAUACGUAGGUGGCAAGCGUUGUCCGGAAUUAUUGGGCGUAAAGCGCGCGCAGGCGGUCCUUUAAGUCUGAUGUGAAAGCCCACGGCUCAACCGUGGAGGGUCAUUGGAAACUGGAGGACUUGAGUGCAGAAGAGGAAAGUGGAAUUCCAUGUGUAGCGGUGAAAUGCGUAGAGAUGUGGAGGAACACCAGUGGCGAAGGCGACUUUCUGGUCUGUAACUGACGCUGAGGCGCGAAAGCGUGGGGAGCAAACAGGAUUAGAUACCCU